UUUGUUUUUUUUUGAGACAGGGUUUCUCUGUGGUUUUGGAGCCUGUCCUGGAACUAGCUCUUGUUGACCAGGCUGGUCUCGAACUCACAGAGAUCCGCCUGCCUCUGCCUCCCAAGUGCUGGGAUUAAAGGCGUGCGCCACCACUGCCCGGCUGUUUCCUCAUUUCUAAGAGAGGUAUAAUAAGAGUACUUCUAUCUCAAAUGUUCAUUUUUCGUGAAAACUAGCUGACUCACUUAAAUUUGAGAACAGUGCCUGACACCCUUAGCUCAUGGGACAGUAAUAAGGCCUACGCAAAGAGGGGCUAGUAGUUAAAAAUGAUUACAGAAUUAAACAAAAGCAGGUAAUGUAUUGUAGGUAAAUUUAUUGUUGCUGUGCCUUAUGAACUCAAAAGUGGUGCACGGUCCAUCCUGUGCUCUGGCACGGUCCAUCCUGUGCUCUGGAGUGACUUAAUGAUUGUUUCACCUGUCAAAUACUCAGAAUAAGAGCACAUGAAAUCAGUCACUCACAAAAGGGAUGCAUGCCAAACACUGAUCUUAAGGACAGUGUUGGUAAAACACUGGGCGGUAUUGGCAUAAAACAGAGGUAUUCAUCAGUGGAAUUGAAAUGAGGGCCCAGAAAUAAAUCCACAUACCUGUGGGCAACUGAUUUUUAAUAAGGAAGCUGGAAAUACACAAUAGAGAAAAAAGAAAGAAAGCGUCUUCAGCAAAUGGUAGCUGGUACUGGAUGUUGAUAUGUAGAAGAAUGCAAAUAGAUCCAUAGCUGUCUCCCUGCACAAAACUCAAGUCCAGGUGGAUCAAAGACCUCAACAUAAAGCCAGAUAAACUGAAUCUGACAGAAGAAAAAGUUGGGACUAGCCUUGAAUGCAUUGGCAUAGGAGACAACUUUCUGAACAGAAUUCUAGUAGCAUAGGCACUAAGAUUGACAAUUAACAAAUAGGACCUCUUGAAACUGAGAAACUUCUGUAAGGCAAAGGACAGUGUAAAUAAGACAAAACAGCAGCCUACAUAAUGGGAAAAGAUCUUCACCAACCCCACAUCUAACAAAUGACUGGUCUCCAAAAUACAUAAUGAACUCAAGAAACUAGACAUCAAAAAACCAGGUAAUUCAAUUAAAAAUGGGGUGCAGAUCUAAACAGAGAAUUCUCAACAGAAGAAUCUCAAAUGGCCAAAGAAUGUUAUUAAAGAAAUAUACACCAUCCUUACUCAUCAGGGAAAUACAAAUCAAAAUGACUCUGAGAUUCCAUCCAUGAGAAUGGCUAGGAUCAAAAACACAAGCAACAGCUCAAUCUGCUCAAUGAUGUGGAGCAAGGGGAACACUCUGCCAUUCCUGGUGGGACUGCAAACUUGUUCAGUCACUUUGGAAAUCAAUAUGGCAGUUUCUCAGAAAAUUAGGAAUUGAUCCCCUCAAGACCCAGCUAUACCAGUACUGGGCAUACAACCAAAGGACGAGUCACCAUACCACAUGGAGAGUUGCUCAGUUAUGUUCAUAGCAACUUUAUUCUUAAUAGCCAGAAACUGUAAACAUCUGAGAUGUCCCUUAACUGAAGAAUACUUAAAGAAAAUUUGGUACAGUUAUACAAUGGAGUACUGCUCAGCUUUUAAAAACAAUGACUUCAUAAAUUUGAAGGCAAAUGGAUGGGACUAUAAAAAAUCAUCAGACCUAGGAAGACAAACAUGAUAUGUACUCAAUAAUAAAUGGAUAUUAGCUAUGAAGUACAGGAUAACCAUGUUACAAUCCAUAGACCCCUGGGACGGGGAAAGAGAAUAAAUUUCUUAGGUGUACUGGGGAUAAGUAUGAAUGGGAACAAGAAGGAUUAGAAGUGAGGGGUAGAGGAGGGGGAAAGUACUGGGAGAGACAAGUGGAAUUGGGGGGCAUUUCUGGGGUGAGGUAGAAACCUAAAGCAAUGAAAACUCCUAGGAAUCCACGGGGGUGUGUAGUGGCAUUUCAUUUGUAUUUUAAUAAAUAAUGCUUGCCUGAACAUCAGAGAUUAAAACAGCCCCACUAGUCAGUCUUACAGACCAGGUAAUGUUAACACACACCUUUAAUCCCAGUAGCUAUACUAGUUUGCGAUAGAAACCGGGUGAUGGUGCACAUCUUUAAUUACAGAAUGAGAGAGGAUUAUAAAACAGGAGGAGACAGCUCACAGUCUCAUUCUGCGAUUCCUGGAGGCAGGAUCACCAUUUCAGACUGAGGUAGAGGUAAGAGCCAGUGGUUGGCUGUUUUGCUUUUCAACCUUCAGGUUGAACCCCAAUAACUCUCUCUGAGUUUUUAUGAAUGAUGCUUCAAGGGUGAGCCUGACAAAGGCUCCAAGGAAUGGAGGAUACCGAACCUGAACUAGUUGUCUUAUGUAGCCAGCCGGGUGUCUAGCACAAUCGUCUUCAGAGAGGAUUCUUUCAGCAGCUGACGGGAGCAGAUGCAGAGACCCACAACAGACCCGGGCAGAGCUCUGGGAAUCUUGCAGAGCAGGGCCAGAAAGGAUUGUAGGAUGCAGAAGGAUCAAAAUACCAUGAGAAAAUGGCUUAAAGAAUCAGCUAAUCAGGGUUCAUAGGGGCUCACAAACACUGAACUUACAAUCAAGGAGCCUGUAUGGGUUUGACCUAGGUCCUCUGCUAUAUGUUAUGGUUGUGAUGCUUGGGGUUCCUGUGGUACUACUAACAGUGUGAAUGGGAGCUUUCUCUGACUCUUUUGUCUACUUUUGGGACUCUUCUUCCUACGGGGUUGCCCCAUCCAGCCUUAAUAUGAUGGGAUAGGCCUAGUUUUGUGGUAACUUUAUAUGCUAUGUUUGGAUAUAGCUGGGAGGCCUAUCCUUCUAUAAAGAGAAAGGAGGAGGAGGAAAGGAUCUGGGGAAAGGAGAGGGGGAGACUAUAGCUGGGACUAACACAUGAGAGAAGGAGGCACAAAGAGGGAGCAUUUCAAGCUGACCUGAAGGAGAGUGCUCUGGACUAAGCACUCUAACACCUAUACGCUGCAAGAAAGGAGGGGCCACCGGUGGACCAGAGCCAGGACAGCUCCUGAAAGGCCUCAAUCCCGUGUCCAACCUAGCUUGUAUUCUCAUUUUAUACUGUAAAACCACAAGGUGGGGCAGACAAGCAACCGAGAUUUUACAGAAACGACCGGCUGUGAACUGGCAUGUACCCCAUGUUAUCUCCAUGUAGCAGCUCCUUCUCCAGGUCGUUCUCUUCCUGGUAGUGAGCGGAGUCAUGCUGGGUAAAGAGGCUGUACUAGCAGUGUUUUAAGUGAACCACUAAAGAAACAAUAAGUCAGUAUCUAAUAACUACUCUUUUCUACCUUAUUCUACUUUAAGACAAAGGCAUCGAGUGGGAAAGAGGCCAAGGCCUAGCUACACGUGGUCAUUGCUCUGCAACAAAGGGAAACCAAGUAACGAAUGAGCAACCAGAGACCGAAAUUCCAAAGCUAGAAAGAUGUUCAAGCACACAAUGACAAAGGAGACAGCUCUGAUUUAAAUUAACAUCCAGGCAAAUAAAGGAAGAAAAUAAGAACCUGUACUGCUUUGAUUUUUUUAAGGCCAACUUCACAAUGUUUCAUACACAGAAGGAUGGAAGAGAAUGGAAAUGAAGCACUCAAUUCUCCAAGUAGGAAUGGGCUGAGUAAACAAACCUAUUUCCAUGAUCAGGAGCAGGAGUGUUUCAGAUUUGAUGAGCUUUCUUUGAAAAGUCAUAGAGUGAAUUUGUCUUCCAGUGAUAAAUCCAUGAGACACUUCACAAAAGGGGAAAAUGAAAGGAAACUCAGGAAGAUGAGCGUUCAGUAAAGAAACAAAGCGUGCCAGUGCUGAAGUGGAUCCAAACCACACAUAUAUGAGAUAACAGAAGAAAGGGAUGCUCUUGGAAUGCUAAUGUGCGCCAUCUCAAAGGAUUCAGAUUCACAAUCAGGAUGACCAGUCUGAAGAAAAGGAUUGAGAUUUACAUUGAGAAACUGGUAAAAAUAUAGUUCACACCAAAGGAACUCUAUAUUGGAAGCCAAAAAGUAAAAGUUAGGAAGUUGACCUAAAUAGAGAAAGAAAUAUGACAAUUUGCAAAGCCAAGGGAAUAUGCUUGUUAUAGAGAGCUGCACAGAGGAGGUGGUGGCCCACACUGCAGGUCAGGAGCUGCACAGGGGAGGCGGUGGCCCACACUGCAGGUCAGGAGCUGCACAGGGGAGGCGGGCAAGGCUCACAAUGUACCUAGUAUGCUCUUUACAACAUUGAUACCAGACAUCUCUGUGUAUUCAGCACAAUGUACUAAAUAAUACAUUUUCUCUCUCUAGUGACAACUCACGGCAAAAUUUUAAAUAUUUUGACAGAUGUUUUUAAAAUUUUUAGAAAAAAUGAUAAACUCUUCCUUUGACAAUUAAGAUGUUUUUUCAGUCUCCUUUUGGGUGAUUAUUUUUAGCAUUCUGAACUAGGGAUAUAAGGCCUGCCCACACUGCAGAGAUAAUGUCUUCCAUUUCCUUCUUAUAAACAUACCAUAUGCAACUCUAUACAGGUAACAAGCACUAAUAUUUUAUUUUCAAAAUACUAUCUUUUAAACAAACUCAUUACUGUUUUAGUUUAAAAGUAUAAAUUCCCACCGGGCAGUGGUGGCACAGACCUUUAACCCCAGCACUCGGGAGGUAGAGGCAGGCAGGGGGAUCUCUGUAAAUUCAAGGCCAGUCUGUUCUACAGAGCUAGUUCCAGGGCAGCCAGAGCUAUUACACAGCAAAACCCUGUUUCAAAACAAACAAACAAAAAACAAACAAAAAAGGAAAAAGUGUAAGUUUCCAAUUUUUCCAUAAAAAUAAUAAAAGUAAACCUAAGCUGGCAUCAGGGGCUCUGCGUGUGACACGAAUGUCUACUUUUGA